rnacentral:rRNA from 1 species
UACGAAGGGGGCUAGCGUUGUUCGGAAUUACUGGGCGUAAAGGGCGCGUAGGCGGUCUUUGAAGUCGGGCGUGAAAGCCCUGGGCUCAACCCAGGAAUUGCGCUCGAUACUCUUGGACUUGAGUGCGGGAGAGGGUGGUGGAAUUCCCAGUGUAGAGGUGAAAUUCGUAGAUAUUGGGAAGAACACCAGUGGCGAAGGCGGCCACCUGGACCGUAACUGACGCUGAGGCGCGAAAGCGUGGGGAGCAAACAGG